UAGCAGUAGGGGCAGUGGCUGUAAGCCCCCUGAUGAGAACUAUCAUGAGUUUGAAACUGCUG
rnacentral:hammerhead_ribozyme from 21 species